UAACCCUACAAAUUCUCUUUCGGAGUUCUGGCAACUUUCAGGUUCCUCCCAAUCGCUCCGAUGCCUUUGAUGUUCACAUCUUCCGGACGAGAGUCAUCUGUGACAGGAUAAUGGAAGAUCUAGUUAUCAAAGGCUUAUUGGGGCGUUCUUUUUUUCAUGUUGAGUUCGUAGCAUAAUCUCCAACUUUUGCAGAGUAUUGCAACACCGAAGUAGCACAGGCAGACAUUUCAUUACCAUUACUCUAUUAGAUAUUGAAUUGAGUAUUAUUUGCUUUCGUUUUGAGCCUAUGCUGUUGAAUUUGAUGUUAUGUUAACACAAGUUAAUAUUUCUGUGGGAGUGUUGUUGAGAUUUGUCUGUAAAAACUAAGCUUUUUAUUUAAUCAAUAUUAUGAAGAUGUGGUAUGUGGGAGAUGUGUUGGACACCAAUUUAAGGGAGAAAA